AGAGGAGAAACAUCAAGGAUCCAGUGCUGAAAGAAAUGUGAGGAAGGAGAGACUGUGUGGGCUGUGUCGAAAUGGAUGGAUGGAGGGAAGUGGGAUGUUGUGUCACCUGCUAGAGAGAGCUGUCUAGCUCUGGCCGGACCUGAGAUUUAGGAGCAGCCAGCUGCAGAGAGAGGAAGAGAGAAAUAAGAGACCAAAGAAGAAGAAGAGGUAGUGGGGAAAGAGGGGGGAAUGGGUGUUUUGAGUCAAACACUUGGUAAUCUGUUUUCCCCUCACAAGUGAAAAACAAGAGAAUCAAGGCGGCAACUGGCACUUAACAACAUCGCCACGCUUUCUUAUCUGAACAAACAAGCUAAAUGUGACUGCAUUGAAAAUCAAAUAAUUCAUCCAUGUGGUUCACGCUUAAUAUGAUCAAAGUUGGGUUGUUUGUUGCAUGUCGUAACCCUGCGUACUUUGGUGGAUUUAUCACACUUUCAGGGAGUCUUCAUCAGUCUUCCUCUUUAUCACAUCCUGCCUUUUUUUCCUUUGUCCCUUUUUCUGCUGAGCUGUCUUUCUUGUUCCGGCGUUAUGGUCUCAAAAGGCAGAUUGUUAGGACCAGCAAUGAGGGGUUUGUGCUGUGCAACAGAAAUAAAUGCCCCCCAGGGGAAUGAUUUGUCUUGUUCACGUCUGCCUGGCGGACUCCGUGCUCAUCCAGGGAGCCAGUGAGCAUGUGCAAGACGGGAUGGCACAAUGGAGAUUUAUCUAUCUGCCUCUCCAUACGCCAGGUGUCUUAUUCGCAGGCUUAAUUCGAGAGUGCGGGAAUAAUGUAAACACCUUGAAAGAGGAGAUCAUAGUCUGUUUUCCUCUGUGAAGCUUACCUUUAAAUACCAAUAAAGUCUGCCGAAAUCUCACAUCCUGAUUUACUGUUAAGGUUUGUGAGCUUAAAUUUCUUAUCUGUUCUUAUGCGAUUGUCAGACUGAUUGUGUGUGUGAUCAGAUCCUGGAGCAGACCGCGCCAAAGAAUCAAUCCUUCUCGAGACAGAUUUGAUCAAUGAGGAUUCUCUCCUUCUCUUUUCUGUCACUUUCCUUUCCCCGAUUUCUCUGCUCAUCUUCUUCUUCACUCUCUUCCUCUACUACAGGUCUUAUCACUCACAAACACUCAUUUCUUUCCCUGCUACGGGCUGGCAGGCACACACAAACAAGCAAACAGGCAAGUAAACAAAUACAGGCUUCUUCAGUAGGAACAGGAAUGGAUCCACACUGUUAACAAUCGUGAGGGGACAGAUGUAGCAUUGGCUAGGUUUCUUUAAGCCGUAUCGACACCCAUGUGCUUUCCACAAGGGAUAGAGGGGACAAAAAAAGAGGAGGGAGUUCAUCCUCAGCCUGUCUAACCAUCCUGCACUGUGAUGUUACUGUGAUUUUGUCAUUUCCUCCUGUUGAUUGAUGUGUAGCAGGUUUGAGGUGGGAUUUUGGAGGUGCUGUUUUUCCAUCCCAACUGGCUCCAGCUGUCCCCCAUUCACCCUUCACCAUCUAUGCUCCACCCCCCACCCCUUAUCUGACCAACAACAGGGGGGCCAAAAGGCAUUCCCAUCAACAGAUUGGCAAACCACUGGAGCAUCCAGACUACAACACCCAAGGUGACCUUUAACAAAAUGGUGAGUUGUUGAAUAGCUGUGGUGGCGGGGAACAGAAAGGGUUAUUGUAAACUCAGGAAUGUUGGAUUGGAUUGUGAUAGAUUUUUCCUCAUGCUGCUCCACUCCUCCAGCAGACACAUCUUUCUUUCACUGUAUUUUAGAAGUAUGCGAGCUGUCUUGAGCUAAGUCUCAUUUCUGGGGAAUGGAAGGAGCAAAAACACACUUUUAAGUCACAUUCACCUUAUUAUUUUCUUUCAUGUGGUAUCAAGUAUAAGCUAGGUUCAGUCUAUGCCAUUAAGAUUUGAGAGUGCAUCUCUUGCUCUGGUUCUGGCUCUCUGUAACCCUUCAUUCCAGUCACAAGAAGGUGUCAAAAAUAGCAAGGUGGCUAGAAGUCUCCCCACCCCAGUCACCAGUUCUACCCCUCUCUCACAGCUGCAGUGGAAUCUAGAGCACAAUGGAUGAAUUUGGUCCUACAGAAACAUUUAUACCCACGCAAAGACCAAAAGAAGGAUCCUUGGAAAAUUAAUUCUCUGUCUACUUACUGAAAAUUAGCAUAAUUUAUUUGAUGUAUUCAAAUUUUGAAUUAUGUCCCUACCACUGCACCGACAAAUCUUUAAGUUCCUAAUGGUCUUCUGUUAACUGAAGACGCCGGUGUUUGCACCAUCUUGGUUGUUUUGGACUGUAGCACUGCAUUUGACAGUGGAUCACAGUAUACAGAUUAAGAGACAGGAGGAGUGGGCUGGAAUAAGUGAUUUGGUCUUGAACUGGUCCAGGUCUUACCUGGAAAACACAUUUUGUAGUGUUAACUGUCAAUGGCAAAUUUAACACAUGGGGUUCAACAGGGCUCAAUGCGGGGUCCACCUCUUUUUUCUGUUUACAUGCUUUCACAAAGUAAUAUUAUCCAUAAAUAUGUGUGCCAUCAAUGACAUGCAACUCUACAUCCUGAUUAGACUUGGUAACCAAUCAAAGAUUUUCACUUUUUUGUAAAUGUCGAGCAAAAAUAAACCCUGGAUGUCAGACGUCUUUAUAAACUAAAUGAUACCAAACCAGAAGCCCCCAAAAGACCAGGAUUUGUGCUUUCAUCCAAAACGGAAAAAAAGUUGUUCAGUCCUGUUUUUACCAGCUCAGAAACAUAGCAAAGGUCAAGUCCCCAAUGUCUGCAAAAGAUCUUGAGAAACUCAUCCAUGCUUUUAUUUCCUCCCAUCUAGAUUACUGCAGUUCCCUGUCCACAUGUCUCGGUCACAAAUCAAUCCACUGCCUCAGACGGUUUAAAAUGCAGCUGCUUCACUUUUAACCAGAACCAAGAAAUCUGCCCACAUCACCCUAGUGUGCGCAGAUCUACAUUGGCUACCUGUUGAUUUUUGGAUCGGUUUUUAAGAUCAUUUUAAUCAUGCUCAUGUCCUAACAUAGGCUUGCCCCUCCCUUUUUACUGAGCUUUUGUUGCCCUAUGCGAUCCUACGGUAGUGCUUUGCUAGCUGUUCAUAGGUCCAGGCUGAAAACCAAAGCAGACGAGGCUUUUGCCCUCAGAGCAUCAGCACUCUGCAACAGCCUGACAGAGGAGAUAAAACACAGUCAGUCCUGUAUUUUGUUUCACCAAUUAAAGCACAUUUUUACAGAAAAUAUUUUAUUCUGUGAUUUUGUUUUAUUCUAACUUUGAUUCCAUUUGUUUAUUCUCACAGGUGCCUAUGCUCUUAUACUUAUUUUACUGUUUGGAUGCUUCUGCUCAACAAAUUAAUUACUUUUAUGAUUAUUAAAAAUUGAUUCAACAACAGCAGGACUUUAACAAGAUGUAACAAUCGUGUUUUUUUUUUUUUUUAACUUUCUCUUUGAUUGGCUUACGAACCUCAUCAUCACCAACAUAUUGAUAAUCCCCUAACCAUUAACAUCUGAAAUGUUCUUUAAAGAAGAAUUCACAUACAUGUGUACACGUUUUGUGGGUUUUCCUUUUUUGCGAACCACCAAAUGGCAGGAACAAUGACGUGAUUUGGCAUGCUGAUGCUAAAUAUUACUGUCCAUGAAAAAAAUUACUGGGAAAGGAAUGCAACCUUAUCCAUACUUCUAUUUUUUAUGUCUAUGAAAGUAGCAGUUUGAACCAAAACUUAUUAAGAAAUGGAUUACAUAACAGCUCCCCUCAUUGUUUGGCUGCAGUAUAGUUCAGGGGACCUGCCUCUUUCAUGUCAAAAUAUGGUCAUGAGUUGAACCAAAAAUUUGAAGUCUAUGCCAAUUACAUGUGAUUGAUGUGGCUGAGAAGCGCUGUCAUUGCUGUGUGCAAAUCACUAGGGGAGAAAAUGAACUGCUAUAGAAUAUUUAAGAGGAUCUACAAGAAUAAGUGAACUUUUGACAACUGAGUUUAAAAAACUCCAGCAUCAUUCUGUCAGGGUCUGUUAAAAAUGGUAUUUUAGAUUCAUUUUGUGCAGAAAAAGUGGGGACACACCAUCUAUCUAAUGUACGAUCAAUGGAAUAAACUUAGACACCAUUUAAUGAUGGGGGUGUUCAUUAGAGUACUGUAUAAACAUUUAAAAUGCGUGCCAACAAUAGUACAAAAGACCUUGUGAUUUUCACAGAUGUAAUCUAAAAGAUUAGAGUAAAACUGCAGGGAUACAGUUUAUUUCUUGUCGUAGUAAGACAUCCCUCCUUCACCUUCAUUACACAUUCUUUCUCUUUAUCCCUACUGUUUGCAAUUCUUACUUUAAGCAAUUUCAAAACAAAUAAAAAAAGAUUUAGUUUUUGACAUUAACAAAUGUGCAUGCAGUAUUCAAUACAAGCAUGCUAAAAACAAGUGUAAGUGCAACAGUGCAUGAAGACACCAGCUCUAGCGGGUCAUUUGUCAUGUCAUGCUUAUGAUAUGAGUUAAAAUGAAUAAUAGGUACAUUAUGUGUUUCUCCAUAUUCGCUCUGUAUGUGCCGUGGUUGCUAGAAGGACAUUUAUUUCAGUUGCACUGUGCAUACACCUUCCUCAAAAUGUAAAUGACCCAGAUUCUGCAGGCACUUUUCUCCCCACAGACCCCAAAGUAGUAAGUCAAAAGAAAAAGGGAAAGAAGUUGCCCUUGUUUGAAUGUAUGUGUGCUAUCAGAGCCUGUGGGCCUCUGUUUGCCUCCUCCAGAGCAGCCGUUAUCACAGGCAGCCUUGUCUCAACAACAUUGCCAUCUCCCGCUCACUUUCCUGCGGCUGCGGCCCCUGAGGCAGGCUCCGACAAUCUACAGGGCCCCACUGAGGGCCCCAUUGUCUCUGUCAGAGUACUUUCAGCUGAAAACCCAGGGCACUCUCCAAGCUCAUUGUCAGUGAGUUAACAGCUUCUCUUCAAAAGGGGCUAAACGCAUGUUCAUUAAUUAUCUGGAUCCUUGUUAAUUGGAUUAAUUGUUGAAUGGGAACCGUGUUAUUAAAAAUGACGAAAACACAAGGGCAGGGGGAGCAAAAGAGGGGGAUUAAUAUUGCUUCUGUUUACUCUCAGGCUGUCAGAAGGCACAAGCAAAGGCACAUGCGUGCACGCACACACACACACACACACACACACACACACACACACACACACACACACACACACAAACACACACACAGACAGGUAUCUGCUCUGUCUAUCCUGGCGUCUCUCACUCCCUCUAACUCUGCGUCUCUAUUUUGCACACACACACACACACACACACACACACACACACACACACACACACACACACACACACACACACACACAGAGGAGCCGUUUGUGACCCAACUCAGAAGAAUCAGCGCCAGGCAAGGUGCAAAUUACCAUGCGCACCGCUGAGAUAAGAACUAAACCCAUUUUCAAAGCUCAGAAUAAAUGCCAGAUUCUUUUUGAUGCAAGAAGUCUGUGACUUUUUCCAUCGUUUAUAUUCAAAGAUUAAGGGAGGAAAUAAAAGAGAAGCAUAAAGUCAACACCAUGACCAAUUUAGCUAUCUCCAAGCCAUAUGAAAAAUGGCGUUUCUCAUUCCCUCUGCCUAUUUGCACACUCUUAUCCACCAAAAUCACUUAUCAGUGUUUGACUUUAAGGGAUGCUUUAUCAUUCAUGGCUUCAAGGUAAGGGCACUGUUAUUGCUGACCGUUUGAGUGACAGGUCUAAUAUUACAGGACAUGUAACUGGUAAAGAUGCAAAUGAAAUUACACUGAGCAUAAUAGAGGAUCUGUGUUUUUCUCCUCUAACUGGUUGAAAUGAUGACAAUCUCAGAGUUAAUAGACACUGUGUCAGAGGAUGGAUACAGUAAGGUAGAAUUGAAGUGCUUAAUCCAACCAAUGUGAACACUUUUCAUAUGUAUGUACAAUUACAAACAAAUGCCCUGGUUGAAAUAAAGUUUAGUGAAUUUAAAAUUUCUGCCCAAUAUUCAACUAACAGAAAUUAUUUCAACACACGAGGACUUUAAAUCAUAAACUGCAUACUGCAUACUCUAUAGUGUCGACGAAUCCUUUCCAGCCAAUUUAGCUUAAUUAAUAAUUUGAAAAACCUGUGUAAAAUAUUUUGAGAUCAACAAAUCAAAUUAUGAAGGCUUGGUAUGUCUAAAACUCAACUGAAGCUCUGCAAUAUAUAUAACAUGAACAUAAUUCAGCUGUAUGUUUAUGCUGACAAAGGGCAGAGAAGCAGUGUCCAGGAAAUGUGUUGUACUUGUUGUUAAGGCAACUGUAUCUGUCAACCUGCUCUGAUGUAGAGGCUGUUGUCGCCUGCUGCACUCCCAAAUACUGUUAUCAGGGGCUUGGGGACUGGUUUAGACUUUUUUUUUUUCCUUUUUUUUUUUUUUUUGGGGGGGGGGGGGGUUUUUUUGUGUAUGUUUUAGAAAGCAGAUUAACAUCGAAAUGCAUCUUAGUAAAUAAAAUGGAAAAACUUUUACUCCAAUUCAACUUCCCCUCAGACACCUCUGAUCCAGUUAGUUUUGUGCAAUCAAUGUAUUGAUCCCGCUACAUUUAAACUAACAGUUUGGGCUUUGUUUACUACACAUUGUCUACACACAGCAGCCAGAAGGUCAAAGUACAGCUGUUUCAGAAUUCAUGCUCCCAGUGAGGGGACUAUUUUACAAAGACAUGACCGGGUGAGCAGUAAGUGGACAAAUUGAAUGAGGGCCAAGGUCAGAGCUCAGAUUUAGCCCAGGCCCUGCUCAGCCAACAGCUGUUAGAAUCAAAACACACCAGUUGUGGUUUAUUUUCACACUAUGCAAGAUGUGAGAGAGUAGGGGUAGCUGGUUUGUGUGUGUUCCAUUGAUCAGGGAUGUUAAUCUUCGGAGGAUAUGUUGAAAGGUCCUUCCAAGGACAGGACAAUGAAAAGCUUCUAUUGAUCAGUGGAACGCUGAUCAAUCGGUCCCAUGGCAGAUAACAAGAUGAACAAGUCUUGAGUAACAAAAGGCGUCUUGUAGGAUAUGGACAACACAGGUUACCCUUUUUUAAAUAUUUUAGUACCUUAAGGUGCAGCUUACUCAGCUUGAUAUGUAUGCUGUUCUUGGCAAAUAUAUCACCUGUAUUGAGCACAGAUCCUUUAUAAGGGAGACUACUGAACACACAUUCAGCCCAUAUAUGACCAAGAAAUAUAGAUUAGAUCCAUAUACUGCCACACUGAGCCUAAAACUACACCAGAUCUUGGAAACGCUAAAAAAGAGAAAAGUGCUGCUUUUAGGUAGUCACUGGAAUGUUGUUCUCAUUCUGGAUAUGCAACAUGAAGGGCCGCACUGCUGGUCUUGUGCAACAUCUGAAACUUUGUGGCUGAAAGAGCUCAGCACCCCAGAGAUUUUCCAAAUAGGGUAACUAAGAUUUUUAGCCUAAUCCUUCAGCAGCAUUUCUAACCCUGUUAGUAUUUGGUUUUAUAUAGGUGUAAAUAUACAAAAGUGAUGAACUACAAAAGAGGGGAAAAACAUUAUUUUACAGGAAUGGGACCCUUGUUGCAAUAUUUAUUUUUCAGUUCAUGUUGCUGACUUCAAUAAGAAAUUAUUAAGAGUAAAAGAUUUCUCUUUUUAUCUAUAAUAUCCUUCCUUUACAAGUUAGUAAUCAUUAAUGUGAAUAUAAAGUACAAAGAAAGAUUUUUAAUUACUAGAAUGAGAGCAAUGUUGGAUGUUGGGAUAAGGCCAUUGGUAAGGACAGAAAGAAUCAAGUAAAUGAGCAAUUCCACUUCACUAGUAUUAUGUGCAUUCCUCUGCACUCCACACCAUUGGCCCAAAUUUCUGUCCGUUAUUCAACAAACAACGUUAUCCCGCCCCUCUAGUUUGUAUGUAAGCGCUCAUUGGUUCGCCCAUUAGUCUCUGAA
rnacentral:lncRNA from 1 species